CUGAGGAGGAGAAUGUGUUAGUAAAGUCAUUUUUAAUGGCUUGGGUAUUUUUAUUCCAUCUUUAGCUUAAUAUGCAGAUCUUUGUAAAAAGUGUAGAUGGUAGAACAAUUACAUUGGAUGUUGACCCCUCCGAUACUAUUGCUACUGUUAAGCAAAAAAUUUAUGAAAAAGAAAAACAAAACUCGUCAAAAGGCAAACCAACAAAGCUAAUCACUAAUCGCAAGAAAACGAAUAAUGCCUGAGGUAAACAGUACCAAAGUGGGCUCACCUGCAUGGACUUAUUGGCGGAACUUCGCUGUUCAACGAGUCUACAAGGCAAUCUUUUUUUGUUCUAGAAGCAUCAAUCCCAACAAUACAAAUGUCAUGAUCGAACAGGUUUAUUUCUGAUCAAUAAAUGGUAUUUCUUUGCAAAGCUUGGCGAAAGCAUUUAACAGUUGUUGAUGGUAUCUUAUUCUUGAAAAACACCCGCCACCCAAUGCAUUGGAGAAAGGAAAACUUUCAAAGCCAAACAGAGUAUUUAUGGGUCAACUACGAUAUGGCAGAUGCAGCAGCCUCAGUUCCUAGUUGCUAAAGUUUGAAUUCAUCAUGUCGAAUUAGUUGUUCCACAUUAUGGAUGAAGACAUUACGCACUGUGUAGGCAUUAACAAUAAUUUUCGCUCUUGAAACUAAUUGGUAGUUGUUGUUGUUGCAGUGUUUUGUACACUGAGGCACCCUUGCCGAUGAAGGACUCCAUCUGGUUAAUCCGAUACGUACAACCGGCUGCCAUGGGAUUGAUACUAACUGGUCCAUAUACCAUAUAAGAAAAGAAAUCGUCCAAUAAACACCACCGGGUCCGAAGAGAGUGUCGCAUUGCACUCCCAUUUAGGGGAUAAGAUUUUACAUGGCAUAGUACAUCACAAAUUUCGCCUGGGUUCGA
rnacentral:sRNA from 1 species